rnacentral:rRNA from 1 species
CACGAACGCUGGCGGCAGGCUUAACACAUGCAAGUCGAGCGCCCCGCAAGGGGAGCGGCAGACGGGUGAGUAACGCGUGGGAAUCUACCCAUCUCUACGGAGUAACGCAUGGAAACGUGUGCUAAUACCGUAUACGUCCUUCGGGAGAAAGAUUUAUCGGAGAUGGAUGAGCCCGCGUUGGAUUAGCUAGUUGGUGGGGUAAAGGCCUGCCACUGCGACGAUCCAUAGCUGGUCUGAGAGGAUGAUCAGCCACACUGGGACUGAGAAACGGCCCAGACUCCUGCGGGAGGCAUCAAUGGGGAAUAUUGGACAAUGGGCGCAAGCCUGAUCCAGCCAUGCCGCGUGAGUGAUGAAGGCCCUAGGGUUGUAAAGCUCUUUCACCGGUGAAGAUAAUGACGGUAACCGGAGAAGAAGCCCCUGCUAACUUCGUGCCAGCAGCCGCAGUAACAC